GGGGCCGUGAAGGUAACGGUAACCUUAGCUGAGUCCACACCAGCCAUUGCGGGUUCAAAUCCCGUCGGCUCCA
rfam:Candidatus Thrbacteria bacterium RIFCSPLOWO2_02_FTLL_53_10 rifcsplowo2_02_scaffold_5359, whole genome shotgun sequence.